CCUGGGUGCCGCCAUUCUGGGAGAACCCGCUGGGUUCUGGGUCAGAGUCUGUGGGUCCUCGCGAGAGAACACAGACGCCGCUGGAGCUCGUGUCCUGACUCCCUGGUAAAUGGGGAGAAUGCCAUCUGCAAUAUUGGACGGUUUUGAGAGAAUAUAUGUAAAAUGCUCUUAAGCAUAUAUUGCCUGAUGAUGAACUUAUAAAAAG